CCUACGGGUGGCAGCAGUCGAGAAUCAUUCACAAUGGGGGAAACCCUGAUGGUGCGACGCCGCGUGGGGGAAUGAAGGUCUUCGGAUUGUAAACCCCUGUCAUGUGGGAGCAAAUUAAAAAGAUAGUACCACAAGAGGAAGAGACGGCUAACUCUGUGCCAGCAGCCGCGGUAAUACAGAGGUCGCAAGCGUUGUUCGGAAUCACUGGGCGUAAAGGGUGCGUAGGCUGUUUCGUAAGUCGUGUGUGAAAGGCGCGGGCUCAACCCGCGGACGGGACAUGAUACUGCGAGACUAGAGUAAUGGAGGGGGAACCGGAAUUCUCGGUGUAGCAGUGAAAUGCGUAGAUAUCGAGAGGAACACUCGUGGCGAAGGCGGGUUCCUGGACAUUAACUGACGCUGAGGCACGAAGGCCAGGGGAGCGAAAGGGAUUAGAUACCCUUGUAGUC
rnacentral:rRNA from 1 species